GAUGAACGCUGGCGGCGUGCCUAAUACAUGCAAGUCGAGCGAACAGAAGAGGAGCUUGCUCCUCUGACGUUAGCGGCGGACGGGUGAGUAACACGUGGAUAACCUACCUAUAAGACUGGGAUAACUUCGGGAAACCGGAGCUAAUACCGGAUAAUAUAUUGAACCGCAUGGUUCAAUAGUGAAAGACGGUUUUGCUGUCACUUAUAGAUGGAUCCGCGCCGCAUUAGCUAGUUGGUAAGGUAACGGCUUACCAAGGCAACGAUGCGUAGCCGACCUGAGAGGGUGAUCGGCCACACUGGAACUGGGACACGGUCCAGACUCCUACGGGAGGCAGCAGUAGGGAAUCUUCCGCAAUGGGCGAAAGCCUGACGGAGCAACGCCGCGUGAGUGAUGAAGGUCUUCGGAUCGUAAAACUCUGUUAUUAGGGAAGAACAAAUGUGUAAGUAACUAUGCACGUCUUGACGGUACCUAAUCAGAAAGCCACGGCUAACUACGUG
rnacentral:rRNA from 1 species